rnacentral:rRNA from 1 species
UACGUAGGUGACCAGCGUUGUCCGGAUUUACUGGGCGUAAAGAGCGCGCAGGCGGUCGUUCAAGUCGAGUGUGAAAGCCCCCGGCUCAACUGGGGAGGGUCACUCGAUACUGAUCGACUGGAAGGCAGGAGAGGGAAGCGGAAUUCCCGGUGUAGUGGUGAAAUGCGUAGAUAUCGGGAGGAACACCAGUGGCGAAGGCGGCCUCCUGGCCUGCUCUUGACGCUGAGGCGCGAAAGCUAGGGGAGCAAACGGG